GAGGGUAUAGCUCAAGUGGUAGAGCACAUGCUUAGCAUGCAUGAGGUCCUGGGUUCAAUUCCCAGUACCUGCA
rnacentral:tRNA from 1 species